AAUCUUAAAGCGAAAGAUCCCCGCCGCCAUCCCGAUUCCCAAACCCCUCGCGCCGCCCGCCCGCCCGCCGGAUUCCGAAGCUUCUCGACUCGAGUCGCGCCCCUCCUCGCCGCCGUCGAAUCGUCGCAGGUGUGGCGACGCGAACCCCUCUCCGCCCCGGGAACGAUGACCCGGCGGAACGGCUGCACGAUCUACGUGGGCAAUCUCCCCGGUGACAUCCGCGAGAGGGAAGUAGAGGAUCUCUUCUACAAGUAUGGCCGUAUCGUGGAAAUUGACCUGAAAAUUCCUCCAAGGCCUCCUGGUUUUGCUUUUGUUGAGUUUGAGGACCCACGUGAUGCUGAAGAUGCAAUUUAUGGUCGUGAUGGAUACAAUUUUGAUGGCCAUAGGUUGCGGGUGGAAUUAGCUCAUGGUGGAAGAGGCCCAUCUUUUGAUCGAUCAAGCAGCCAUAAUAGUGUUGGACGCCGCGGUGCAACUAGGCGAUCUGAUUACCGCGUUAUGGUUACUGGACUACCUUCUUCAGCAUCAUGGCAAGAUCUCAAGGAUCAUAUGCGGCGAGCUGGUGAUGUCUGUUUCUCCGAUGUUUAUCGUGAGGCUGGAGCUACUAUUGGAAUAGCUGAUUAUACCAACUAUGAAGAUAUGAAACAUGCGAUAAGGAAACUUGAUGAGUCCGAGUUCCGUAAUGCAUUUUCACGGUCAUAUAUCAGGGUGAGGGAGUAUGAUGCGAGGCGCAGCCGCUCUCGCUCCAGAGGCAGAAGCCAUAGCCGCUCUAAGUCAAGAAGCAGAAGCCGCGGACGCUCUUACUCGAGAAGCAGAAGCCACAGUUAUAGCAGGAGCAGGAGCCCAAGAUCGAGAUCUGCUUCUCAGUCACGAUCACCUGUUAAAGCAAGAUUGGGGCCAUGCGAUGAUCUGGGGAUUGCGUUGCUAGGAUAUUGGAAUAUUGAGAACAUGAGGAUGGUUUGGAACGUUGGAUAGUUCAGCUGGAUUGUGAUGCACUGUAUGACAAGUGGACUACAACCAGCAAUAGGAGCAAGAUAGGGCUGGCACUAAUCAUAUUGGAGUGGAAUUUGAUCACCAUCCAGAUCCCAGUCACCUCGUGCUUCUCCUCCGCGCGACAAGUCCGCUAGCAGGAGCCCUGCCAGGAGCAAAAGUCUGCCCCGAUCUGAUUCUCCCGCAAAAGCUGAGUGAAUCAGAUCGUGCGCUUGAAACCUUCAGAAAUGUGUGGCUGGAGCUGAAUGAUUGUCGUAUGGAUUGUGAACAGCACUCUGUUCUGAAGUAGCAUUGCUAUUCCUUCCAAAAUUUUACAAGCGUGCACUGUUCUUUUAGGAGGUUACUUUGUGCUACUUUGUAAUUGACAUGAUGCAAGCACUGUCAUUGUUUUUUGCACUCAGCAGAACAAUGGCAUUGAUGAGUUCCAUAAUCCAGCUGAAUUUAUCAGUUAUCGUUA